GAGAAUGAAGAAGCCUAUGUUUUAGAGAUAGGCACUGGAGAGAGAGAAAAAAAUGAAGGCCAUAUGACACUACUUAAGCCCUUGCCCUCAGGCAUGUCUGAAGCUAGUUCUACUUCUCAGCUUUCAGUUACGAAAAAACAAAUUAGGCUGGGUGUGGUGGCUCACGCCUGUAAUCCCAGCACUUUGGGAGGCCGAGGUGGGUGGAUCACAAGGUCAGGAAUUCAAGACCAGCCUGAUCAAUAUAGUGAAACAUGUCUCCACUAAAAAUACACACAUUAGCUGGGCAUGGUGGCGUGCAACUGUAGUCCCCGCUACUCGGGAGGCUGAGACAGGAGAAUUGCUUAAAUGCGGAAGGUAGAGGUUGCAGUGAGCCAAGAUCAAGCCACUGCGCUCCAGCCUGGGUGACAGAGUGAGACUCCAUCUCAAAAAAAAAAAAAAGAAAGAAAGAAAGAAAGAAAAAACAAAAUAUGUUUAGAUAGUUUAUUGUUGUUUUGCUUAAGCUACUUGGAACUGGGUUUCUGUCAGCUGCAAUCAAAAAGUCCUGAUGACUAAUACACUGAAUUUAAUCAAAUUUCCCUAUAGCUUUAUGGAGACACAGAGUCCUAAUGUUGGCAUUUGCUCAAAAGCCACAGCACCAAGAGUAACAAGUGAAUGUAUUUCACUUUAAAAGGUAAAUGAGAAAUUUGCUCUAUGUUCCUAGAAAUCUCUGCAGAGCACGUCAGUCUAAAGUUGCCCUUCUUAACCUUUUUCAUGUUGAGGCACACAUAGAACAUUACAAAAGUGUGUAAGGUAUAAUGGAGUGGGCAAAUUGGCCCAAGGACUAAGCCUCCCUCUGAAGACCCUGCCACCCAACCCAAGAGCUGAAGAGAUCAAUAUCCAGGCACCUGUACCACCCGUGAACCAGUUGGGAGGGUCACAUCUAGAAUAAGCACUUAUUACCCAACUUUCUUGGACAGCUGACCUAUCAACAAGCCAGCAAACAUUAUCGACCCUGUUCUAUCUGCAAGACAGGAGAUAGGGGAUAUGAAAGAGACAUAAAGAUAACAGGACACGAAGCUUUAAUGAGUAAGUGGCACAAGCACAUUCCUAAGUCUAAGGUAGAUGGUGAGAAAUGUCCCAACAGAG
rnacentral:lncRNA from 1 species